GCGAGCGUAGCUCAGUGGUAGAGCUUCUCGUUGCCAACGAGAUUGUCGUGAGUUCGAAUCUCAUCGCUCGCUCCA
rnacentral:tRNA from 1 species